GCCUGGGUGGCUCAGUCGGUUGAGCAUCCGACUUCGGCUCAGGUUAUGAUCUCGCGGUCUGUGAGUUCGAGCCCCACAUUGGGCU
rnacentral:tRNA from 1 species